GUGCUCGCUUCGGCAGCACAUAUGCUAAAAUUGCAACGACACAAAGAAAAUUAGCAUGGCCCCUGUGCAAGGAUGACACGCAAAAUCGUGAAGCGUUCCAUAAUUCU
ensembl:snRNA U6 U6 spliceosomal RNA